rnacentral:rRNA from 1 species
UACGGAGGGUGCAAGCGUUGCUCGGAAUUAUUGGGCGUAAAGGGUAGGUAGGUGGUCUUAUUUGUCUGGGGUGAAAGCCUUGAGCUUAACUCAAGAAGUGCCCUAGAAACGGUAAGACUAGAGUCCUAGAGAGGGUCGUGGAAUUCCCGGUGUAGCGGUGAAAUGCGUAGAGAUCGGGAGGAACACCAGAGGCGAAAGCGGCGACCUGGAUAGGUACUGACACUCAACUACGAAAGCGUGGGGAGCAAACAGG